CCUGGUGGUCAGUGUGAAACUAAGGGCUGCUGGCAACAGGGCCCUUCCCCUUCCUCCACCACUCCGCUCCCUCGGGGUGGCGGGGGAGGCCACAGCUCUGCUCUGCUCUGCUCCUCACCCCUCCUGUCCCUCAACUGCCACCUUCCAUGCUUUUGCAGACCCUUUCAGUUCAUCCACCUGCCACAGUCAAGAGCUGAAAAAUCCAGGAGCCAAGCUUCUGAUUCCUGCUCUGUUGUCAAAUGCUGGGCGGCACUGGCAGAGUGACUUCUAGGUGACACCACAGCUUCUUUGUUUAUGACCCUCCUUUAGGAGUCGUAAGGGGAUAAUAGAGCGAAUGGGAAAGGAUUGUGAAAGCACCAAGGGGCUAAGACACUUUGGACCCUAAGUUUACUGAACACUGAACUCCCCAGUUUCCUUUAAGGGUAGAAGCUCCCAUCUUGCCCCCAGUGCCGCCUGUCUGGGGCAAUGUGGCCUGGCAGUGUGCCUGGACACCUCCAGCUGUCUUGCCCCAGGUCAGAAAGGGAGGCCUCGCAAAGGUAGGUGGGUUUGCCAACAUUUUCUAGACAAUUGAUCUGACCAUGGUCUAAGGCAGGGUCCUAGAGUUAGAGGUUAAGAAGUUUUAUUCCUAAAGCAGCAGCUCUAGGCUUUUAUAUGUAGAAUCAUCUAGGUGAAUUUUUAAGGAGCCACUGAAUAUGUAUGAGAAGACAGGGAGAGAAUGUGAACAUGGAGGAGAACUGCAGAGAAGCCAAAGGGAGAAUGAUGCAUGAGGACAAAGGAGGACAGGAGACCUCAGGGACUAUGGCAUGACCGUGGUUGGACAGAGACAGGGAGACGGGACCGGGAGCAAGGAGGAGCAAGAAGAAGAUUCUGGGAGAGAAAUAAAGAGGCCGAGAGGAGCUGAGCCAGGCAGCCGGUGGAGCAGGCAGAUGGAACAACAGAGACAGAGAACAGAGCCACGGAGUGGGCACACAGCGAGGCCUGGCAGCCAAGCCCUGCGGAUUCCGUGGGAGCAGAUGCUUCCACGGGAGCAGCAGCUGAUGGCCCCGAGCACGUGCAUCCUUGUUGACUCCAGGCCCAGCACAGGCUCCUCGGCAGCCAGCCUCAGGCUGGAGGAACAAGCGGGGCCAGAGAGGCAGACACAUGACAGCCCUGCCCCUUGGGAGCCCCCUUUCUCCCUUCCAUCCUCAUCCGGGCUCCGCCCACCUGCUCUGUCUGCAUCCCGAGGCCUCGUGAAUCCCAGGGAAGCCAUGAGCUGCUACAUCACGCCGGAAGGAAGCAGGCUGCGUUGGAGGGGGACUCUCAGAGGGCCUUCCUACCUACGACAGGCGCCGGCAGUGCCGGCAAAGCCUGUGCCACCUUGCAGCACCUCCAUCUUCAUCCACUCCCCUUCCAAUUCCGCAGAGGACCCAGGAGAAACCUCAGCUCUGAGCAGAUCAAUUAUUGCUAAUAAAAUUUAAAUUCUGGCCUGGAGAUGCUAAGGAUGCCCAGGGAAAGCGGAAGAAAAAGGUGGCAUGGAUUCCAAAGGACGGACUUGGAGUCAGCAGACACUCACUGGGAGCCUGAAGUGUCCAGCCCCACCCCAACGCCCCCAUGUCUGAAACCCAGUCCUAGCACCAAACCCUGAGCCCACUCCAUUUGUGUAAAAACCAUGGCUGGCAGAAAGGCUUAAAAACUGGGGGGACACGAGGCACUGCCCAGUCCAGUCCCCUGAGAGCAGUGCAGGGCAGCAGCCCACCAGCCCGCAGAGCAGAUAGACCACCUUCUCUCCCUUUCGCUAUCCUCCAAGCAGGUGCCCCAACCAGAGCACUGGUGGGGACAGGUCUCCUCUGAGCAGGGUGGCCCUGGCUCUCUUUAGCACCCCUUCCCAGACGUGUGCCAUGAGUCCCAAGGAACAGAGAUCUCUUACACACCCACACUAGGCCGUGCAGCCUGGGGAGGCCGUCCACGGUUGCACAGAAGACCCCACUUCUCCUCUGUCUCCGGGUGUUCUGGCUGUGCGGAGCCCUCCCUCCUUGAACUGAGAUUUAUACGGCUGCAACCUCUGCCAGAGCAAAGGCAGCCUAGCUUCAAUCACAGAACAGGAUGUUAGAUCCUGAAGCCCAGUUGCAGCCUCUGCAGCCUGGCCCAGCCAUCAGCCUCAGCCGCAGUGCGAAGAGUGAGUCAGAGGUCUGGGAGGGCAGGAGCGCAGCCAGGGUGGCACCCCACCUGCUGUGAGAGCAGCAGCACCCCAGGUUGCGCUCUCUCCCCCUUGCCCCACAGUAGAGGAUGCACUCGCACCUGUGUAGCAGCGAGGCAGAGACUCAGGCCACGCGGGGUUGAGGGACCUCAGCUCUCCUCCAGGGUCUCAGCCGCCCCACUUGCUUCCCAAACAAGAAAGCUGAGACCCCUAAGAAAGGGACUUGCCCAAGGUCACAGAGCUCAUUUGAGGACACAUCAAGAUUAUAACUGGUUAGGAGUUUUGCAAAUGGGUUUUUCUACAGUUGGUAGAAAAUGUCUAAGACAUUUUUCAGAAGGCUUGAUAGUGGCCAGCUCCCUCUAAUCCACACUGGUAGAACACUGUGAUUAAAAUUCAGCUGCAUAGCUCCUGCCGGGAAAUGCAGUGAUAUUUUCAUCAUUGAAGGCCUAAGCAACUGCUUCCCAUUCUUAAAACAGGGGUGCUGAACCCAAAGUCCAUACAUGAGCUUCCUGGUGCUCAUCGCCCCUCAAAUUGUGGGCAGGUUUUUGAGUGUCUGUGUUCCGCACAUUUUUCUGAAGAAGGGUUCACAGCUUUAACUGAUCUGCAAAGAGAUGCACAACACGGAAGAGGUUGAAAAAUCAUUGCCUUAAAGCAUCAGGAAUCUAGGCUCCGGAGAAAUCAGAUUUUGAUAAUCAGCUGCUAGGCACCUUAUCAGCAUUCAGAGACAAAAAGGGUUGGAUUAUUUUUUCCUAGAUGUAUGAGUAUAUAUUUUGCAAUAUGAAAGAGCAUCUAUGUUCUAGAAUGCAAGUCUCUUGAGGGAAGAUUUCUUGUCUUUGUCUUUGCCUCUCUAAGGUAUCCUGGGGGCCUAGAUCAGUGCCUGGCUAUAGUAGGUGCAAACAUAAACUUGAUUAGUUUACAAUCUACAGGUGCUUCUCUUCCCAUGUGCACUCCUACUUGGUCUCCAACAACCACAGAAUUAUUGUCGAUUAGGGGAGCCCUGAUGCAAGAACUGUAAGAAUUAUUGCAUAAUUCAUUGUUGAGCUUCAGGACCUUUUUUGUCUACUGUUCAAGAGUGACCACCCUGGGAACAUCAAGGAGGUCCAGCCAAACCCUGGGUCCAGGUCUGAUGCAGUUCGUGCCAUGCACCCGACUGCCUAGCACCUGCUUGCUGGGAGCUUGCUGCUUUAGGCACAGCCGACCAAAGCACAGCCUACGUGCUCACUGCCUUGUGAUCAGAGUGCUCUGCAAACAGAGCCGGACUGGAAAAUCCACUGUCUUAGAGCCUGCAACUCGGAGUGUGAGUUCCCAGGGGGAAUAGGGAAGAAUUCCAAAUCCGACAAGGACCAGGCAGGACCCAGCCUCAGGACAGGCUCCGGCCCCUCCACCUCGCCUCACCUUGCUAUAGAGUCUGUUUGAUCAUCCCCUCCUUGUCCUACUUUGCAGCCUCCACAGCUCAGCUGCUAAACCCCCUGCGGAUUAGGAAGCUGGGGGCACAGAGGAGCGGGAGGGCAGCUCCUCUUGGGACAGAAAGGGCUGCUUUCUGGGGAGGGAAGCGAGGAAGUUGGGGCUCUCAGGGCACUGGCCAGGACAGCCUUCCUGCCCCUCGGCUUUGCUGUUCGCUGGAACCUCCCCCGUGGAGAGACGAGCUCUGAGAGGCGGUUGUACAGCUGCUGCUUCUGUCUGAGGCUAAAAAUAGCCUCCUCUCUGCCCAUGUCCAGCGCAGGCUGGGCCAGAGCUCUGAAGAGGACUCACAGGCGGAGGGGGACAGAAAGUGGGGCCAGAGACAAGAGCCCCCAGAUGGGCAAAGGCCAGGCGAGACAGGAGCAGGGAGGGCACGGGCUUGGGCUGCAUCUCAGCUCUGGUCUCUUUUCUGUCCCAGAAACUCCCUUGGGAAGGGGACAGGGUCUCUCCUCCCUGUGUUCUGAGGGGAAGCAGGCGUGGAGAGGGUGGCGGGCUGGCCUGGGUCCCUGCUGACACCACACUGUGGGCCGAUUACCAGCCACCGGACACCGUUCCAGCCGUGGGUGUAAAAGGAGCCUACGAUGUAGGUGUCGUUGCUGUUAUCACUCCCUUGACAGCUGAGGAAAUGAAGGCCCAGAGACGUCAGCUCACAGGGCCAAGAAGCCGGGGCAGGAUUCUACCUGGGGCGGCCUGAGUGCAGAGCCCACACCUGACACAGCCACAGCCUCGGCCCAGCCCAGACAACAGGGCACAGAGCGGCUGAGGAAGAGGAAAUAGGAUUCCAGGGUUGCCGUGCAGGAGGGCAGCCCCAGGCAAGUGGGCGCCAUGGCCUCAGGGCUCACCUUCUGGAGAGUUCAUUAUAAUCUGGGACACAUGAUGUAUGCUGGGCCCAUGGCUCCUUCGGCCCCUCCUCGGAUUUGCUGGGGAUUUUAGAAAAUCCUCUCUAGCUGCCCCACUCCCCCUUGCAUGCCUGCACACCCCCACCUUCAGAAGAGGUGCCGGACACAGUGCCCAGCUGACUCCCCGGGCCUGGGCCCAGAGGCACAGAGGGUCGGCCACAGCCAGCCGCCCUCGCUCUCCGGAGACCACGGCAUGGGAAACGGGCAGCGGGCGCUGAGAGCCUUUGGGGUCUGAGUUAUUUAAAUGCUUAGAGUAAAGCAGAUUUGGAUUUCACAAAGACAGGAGUGAAAGGUGGAGGAUGGAGGAAAGGACUUAGAGGGAAAGAGAGAGAGAAAGGGAAGGAAGGAGAGAAGGGGGAGAAAGAGGAAGAGAGAGGAGUGGGCUUCUCAGAGCCGACUGCCAGCCUGGCCUCUCUCAUCUAGAGGAGACUAGGAGAGCAAGUGCGGUCCUGCCGAGUGAGCUGGAGCAACAAUGGAGACCGAGAACGCAGGUGGCCAGGACAGAGCCCUGGUGCCAGCAAGGGGUCAGGAACAGAGGCAGUGGGGACCAUGGUAGUCCAAGGUCACAGAAGUCACAGGUGCUCGUACAUGCUGCCGUCGUCUUGUCUCCUCUGCCAAGGCCUCUGUUGGGCUCACCUUGUUUAAGGCCAAAGCACACACCAUCCUCCCGCAGAGCCACUAAUGCAAUUAACAAAACACAUUCAUAAAUCUUGCAUGGCGUCCAGAGCACAGGGGCCAGCUCCAGAGCUGCUGUGCAGAGGCUGCCUGACCUCCCCAGCACCAGGGCCUUCCGAAGAACACAGCACAUCCCUUAGUAGGACUACAAGACCAGCCCUUUCCUGCUGAGCUCCAU